AACGAACGCUGGCGGCAGGCUUAACACAUGCAAGUCGAGCGCCCCGCAAGGGGAGCGGCAGACGGGUGAGUAACGCGUGGGAACAUACCCUUUCCUGCGGAAUAGCUCCGGGAAACUGGAAUUAAUACCGCAUACGCCAUACGGGGGAAAGAUUUAUCGGGGAAGGAUUGGCCCGCGUUGGAUUAGCUAGUUGGUGGGGUAAAGGUCUACCAAGGCGACGAUCCAUAGCUGGUCUGAGAGGAUGAUCAGCCACAUUGGGACUGAGACACGGCCCAAACUCCUACGGGAGGCAGCAGUGGGGAAUAUUGGACAAUGGGCGCAAGCCUGAUCCAGCCAUGCCGCGUGAGUGAUGAAGGCCUUAGGGUUGUAAAGCUCUUUCACCGGAGAAGAUAAUAACGGUAUCCGGAGAAGAAGCCCCGGCUAACUUCGUGCCAGCCGCCGCCGUAAAAC
rnacentral:rRNA from 1 species